rnacentral:rRNA from 1 species
AUACGGGGGGUGCAAGCGUUAAUCGGAAUUACUGGGCGUAAAGCGCGCGUAGGCGGUUAAAUAAGUUGGAUGUGAAAUCCCCGGGCUCAACCUGGGAACUGCAUUCAAAACUGUUUAACUAGAGUAUGGUAGAGGGAAGUGGAAUUCCAGGUGUAGCGGUGAAAUGCGUAGAUAUCUGGAGGAACAUCAGUGGCGAAGGCGACUUCCUGGAUCAAUACUGACGCUGAGGUGCGAAAGCGUGGGGAGCAAACAGGAUUAGAAACCCCGGUAGUCC